rnacentral:rRNA from 1 species
AUUGAACGCUGGCGGCAGGCCUAACACAUGCAAGUCGAACGGUAACAGGAAGCAGCUUGCUGCUUUGCUGACGAGUGGCGGACGGGUGAGUAAUGUCUGGGAAACUGCCUGAUGGAGGGGGAUAACUACUGGAAACGGUAGCUAAUACCGAAUAACGUCGCAAGAACAAAGAGGGGGAGCUUGGGGCGUCUUGCCAUCGGAUGUGCCCAGAUGGGAUUAGCUAGUAGGUGGGGUAACGGCUCACCUAGGCGACGAUCCCUAGCUGGUCUGAGAGUAUGACCGGCCACACUGGAGCUGAGACACGGACCAGACUCCUACGGGAGGCAGCAGUGGGGAAUAUUGCACAAUGGGCGCAAGCCUGAUGCAGCCAUGCCGCGUGUAUGAAGAAGGCCUUCGGGUUGUAAAGUACUUUCAGCGGGGAGGAAGGGAGUAAAGUUAAUACCUUUGCUCAUUGACGUUACCCGCAGAAGAAGCACCGGCUAACUCCGUG